rnacentral:lncRNA from 1 species
AUGGGAGCGGUUCCAUCGUGCUGGGCAGUGAACCCUCCGAAGGACAGAGACCUCCCCAGGACCCCCGUGUCCCGCUGCCAUCCCCGCACGGACACUGCGGGAUCAGCCCCGCUCCUCCAGGCCUGGCUGAGACCAGCAAACAGGGAUGAGUUUCUCCAAGGUCUGGGUGCUGGUGGUGAUGUUACCUGCAGUGCAAGCCCUGAGCCAAUGUUUUUUGUGGACUUCGAUGCUGAAUGUGAGAAAGAGCGGCUCCUGAAAGAUGACAGGGCAGGAUCCCCCACAGCAGAGCUGUCCCAGGGGAACAUGCUCUUCAACACAACCAGACAUCGAUGGACUUCACAUGAGCCUCAGGCCCCAGGAAGCUCGAAGGAGCUGGAAGGCGAAGAGGAGCCGCUUUUGAAUGCGGCGGGGAAUAGACCUGCAACUCCGGUCCUGCUCCCCCCGGCUCCAGACCCCUCGGACGCGGUCCCGGCGGGGAGAAGAGAGAGCAGGAGAAGCCCGUGGCUGCUUUGGGAGAAGCUGGGUACUGCUGGGAGCAGGUGGAGGAGGAACCCCUGGAAAAGCCUGAGAUCCAGUGAGAGGUGGGGAGCAGCCCCCGAUGGACCACCCUACAUCGGCAGCCCCCCUGGAGGAGAGUGUGACCCUGGCCCUUCUUUUCUGCCCCCCACCCUGGUACCCGCCACUCUUAGCCCUGUCCUAAAGAGGUCCUCAGCUCCAGCUUUUUCCUCUUCUUUCCCUGACAUUUCCCUUUAGUGAACAUAACAUGUUUCCAGUUUUCCUUUCUCCUUUCCUGUUGCUCAGGAAGGACCCAUGAGUCUCACUCCCCUGGCUGGCACAGCCUGGCUUUGCUUUGAAUUAUUUAUAUAUAUUUUUUUUUUCAGAUUAAGCAUUUAGUGUGAAUAAAUUGUUCUCACUUCUCCCUCUGAUUAUUCA